GUGGAAAGGCGGGCAGAGGCGGUUUGCGUAUUGGGCGC
rnacentral:misc_RNA from 2 species